rnacentral:ncRNA from 1 species
CCUGGAGCUGUAGGUGGUUCCAAGGGUUGGGUUGUUCGCCCAUUAAUGCGGUACGUGAGCUGGGUUCAGAACGUCGUGAGACAGUUCGGUCCAUAUCCGGUGUGGGAGUUAGAGCAUUGAGAGGACCUUUCCCUCGUACCAAAGGAUCGGGAAGGACGAACCUCUGGUGUACCAGUUAUCGUGCCUACGGUAAACGCUGGGUAGCCAAGUGCGGAGAGGAUAACUGCUGAAAGCAUAUAAGUAGUAAGCCCACCCCAAGAUGAGUGCUCUCUCCUCCGACUUCCCUAG